GGCUGGUCCAAGUGCAUGGUGUUUACAACUCAUUGAUCACAACUGGUUACAGAUGUCUUUGUUCCUUCUCCACUCCCACUGCUUUAUUUGACUAGCCUUAC
rnacentral:Y_RNA from 1 species